rnacentral:rRNA from 1 species
CAUUCCACGGAUUCCGUGACGCAGCUAACGCAUUAAGUUCCCCGCCUGGGGAGUACGGCCGCAAGGCUAAAACUCAAAGGAAUUGACGGGGACCCGCACAAGCGGCGGAGCAUGCGGAUUAAUUCGAUGCAACGCGAAGAACCUUACCAAGGCUUGACAUAUACGAGAACGGGCCAGAAAUGGUCAACUCUUUGGACACUCGUAAACAGGUGGUGCAUGGUUGUCGUCAGCUCGUGUCGUGAGAUGUUGGGUUAAGUCCCGCAACGAGCGCAACCCUCGUUCUAUGUUGCCAGCACGUAAUGGUGGGAACUCAUGGGAUACUGCCGGGGUCAACUCGGAGGAAGGUGGGGAUGACGUCAAAUCAUCAUGCCCCUUAUGUCUUGGGCUUCACGCAUGCUACAAUGGCCGGUACAAAGGGCUGCAAUACCGCGAGGUGGAGCGAAUCCCAAAAAGCCGGUCCCAGUUCGGAUUGAGGUCUGCAACUCGACCUCAUGAAGUCGGAGUCGCUAGUAAUCGCAGAUCAGCAACGCUGCGGUGAAUACGUUC